rnacentral:sRNA from 1 species
GCUGGGUGUGGUAGUGCACGCCUGUAAUCCCAGUAGCUACAGAAGCUGAGACAAGAGAAUCACAAGUUCAAAGUCAGCCUCAGCAACAGUGAGGCACUAAGGAACUCAGUGAGUCCCUGUCUCUA